rnacentral:rRNA from 1 species
GACGAACGCUGGCGGCGUGCCUAAUACAUGCAAGUAGAACGCACAGUUUAUACCGUAGCUUGCUACACCAUAGACUGUGAGUUGCGAACGGGUGAGUAACGCGUAGGUAACCUGCCUGGUAGCGGGGGAUAACUAUUGGAAACGAUAGCUAAUACCGCAUCAUAUUAAUUAUUGCAUGAUAAUUAAUUGAAAGGUGCAAUUGCACCACUACCAGAUGGACCUGCGUUGUAUUAGCUAGUAGGUGAGGUAACGGCCCACCUAGGCGACGAUACAUAGCCGACCUGAGAGGGUGAUCGGCCACACUGGGACUGAGACACGGCCCAGACUCCUACGGGAGGCAGCAGUAGGGAAUCUUCGGCAAUGGACGAAAGUCUGACCGAGCAACGCCGCGUGAGUGAAGAAGGUUUUCGGAUCGUAAAGAUCUGUUGUAAGAGAAGAACGGGUGUGAGAGUGGAAAGUUCACACUGUGACGGUAUCUUACCAGAAAGGGACGGCUAACUACGUG